UUCUAUAAGUCUUCUCUCUCUUUCUCCCUCACUCCCCUCACUCGGCUGAACCUUCUCCCCCUCUACUCUCUCUCUAAUUUUCUCUUCCUUUUCCUCCUCUUGGCUUGCCCGUCGCCAUCCUGAUCACCCGCUGCCAUCCACCCGUCCACCGCUGCAUGCUUGCCAUCUGUCCGCCUGCUGUUGCACUGCCACCUGCUUGCCAUCCUCAUGCCGUUCGCCAUUGCUGCCAUGUCGUGAACCGACUGCCCCUUAUCUUGUCUCGGUUGUUCAUAAGUAGAUUUCCUAAAUGUCGGCUAAGCUGUUGCAUUACAUAACUCGAAUUUAGGUUCAUUUCUAGUGUUGUAGAACUAUCCUAAGUAGAGAAGCUCAUGUGACUAAUUUUGUAUGGUUUGCUCAUGAUGUACUUAGACUAUAAAGCUUGGGAAUGAGUGAGGAGUAAGUAUGUGAUCGUUGAGAUUGUUCGGGUUGGCGUGAUUUGUGGAAAUAGUUCGUUUAGGCUUAGUUAUUGCUUGGGUUAGAAAAAUUGCUGUGGUUGUUGCUUGUGGACCGUUUGUUAUUGUUAAAUAAACUUAACCUUCAUGUUUGAUUGCUGUGGUUGGUUGUAUAAGGUGAUGUGGUUUAUUGUAUGUUAUGACUAUUAUGGUUGAAUCAUCCAUCUAUGUUGUUAUUAGAUUUGAUAUUCAAGGAUUAUGAUUGCAAUAUGGAUGUGGUCUUCGCAUAUAGAAGUCCAUAGGUCAUGGUUGAUGCUUGAGUUCACAUUGAGCCUCCGAAGCUAGAAUAACAUCAGUUCUUGGACGUGCAUGGAAGUAUGCCGGGCCGGGUCACUCUUUUAGUUUGGCGAUUUUGAGGUGUAACGUCCAACUUGGGUUUAACUUAGGUUGAUGCUUGAAUGUAACGGGUCAAGCCACGAUUCUAUUUUUGUGCUUUGUAUGGAGUCCUACUUUAGAUGAUAGGCCUCACUAAGCUCUCUCCUGGGUUGUGAAAGCGGUGCGAAAGAAGUUGGUUGGGCUACCUUGCCUUGAGAGCUUCCCCGAUGAUUGAGUCUGUGAUUUUAUUGGUUGUAUUUGCUUCCAUCUCGAAAUGUUCUUUCAUGAUUGUAUGUAAAAAAUCUCUCAGGCAUAAGCAUAGGCAUAUGAUGAGUUGAAAACUUCAGAGGUGG
rnacentral:lncRNA from 1 species